AUUCCGGACUGUCUGUCCUGCAGGCUGCGAACCGGCACGUUCCGCAUCCCACCUCCUUCUUCAACUCUACCACUGCUAAGAAGCAGGAGCCCAGUGCAAGGUGCCCGGUCCGGCCACGCUUCGGCCAAGACAGCAGGCAUCCCACCUGAAUCUAGGGGGUUGCCAUAUGUAGAGCAGCUAUGAAGGCGCUGGCGCCCCGAGCGGGGUGUCAUGUGAUCACUCAGUGCCUUGUUGUCCCCUCUACUUUAGGGAGUUUUCUGUGAAGGGGGCGCCAGGUCAGGGCAGUCCAGCCAAAGACCACUGCUUUAACCCGGAGCUUCAGUUUCCCUGACUCCCUCCCAAACGACUUUGGAUAGACGAGGGAGGGGCCUUUCUCCUAAACUACAGUGGGGCUCCUCUCGGCAGAACACUUGUCUCGUUCCCCCCCUCACCGGGCCAUUCUCCUCAUCUGACGAUCGGGCUUCUGUCCUCUUCUCCUUGAAGGCCCACACUGGCACCGACACGGGCAGAGACUUGGCAUACUGCUGGGUAGGCAGGGCUGUGGCCGGGGGCUGGGGACAGGCUGUGGGACCGGCGGGCGUCUCCUCGCUCAGGCUGCCGUCUAUGAUACAGGGAAGCUUCAGCUUCUGCCCCCCUACCCUCUGCCUGGCCUCCUAGGGCUUGGACAACCCAGGAUCCUCACCGUCUGUGCUCUCCGGGUCUGACUCGCAGAAGGGGGGCAGGUCCUGGAGGGUGGCAUCCUCAUCCAUCAUGAAGAGACCUGAGGGGGAGACAGGCCCUGCAGUCGGCCCCCGGGUCUCAACACUUUUUCAUUUGCCUCCCUGGUCACUGAGGGUCCCUCCCAUUAUCAGGUACUACCAGAGUCAAAAUGGUGCUUGGGACAUGGCCCAAAAAUAACUCCCAAAGAAAGAUGGUCUGGUGGGGACAAAUAAAAGAUCCCAAUACCAUGUCA
rnacentral:lncRNA from 1 species